UACGGAGGGUGCAAGCGUUAAUCGGAAUUACUGGGCGUAAAGCGCACGUAGGCGGCCAUUUAAGUUAGAUGUGAAAGCCCCGGGCUUAACCUGGGAAUUGCAUUUAAAACUGGAUGGCUAGAGUACAGCAGAGGGUGGUGGAAUUUCAGGUGUAGCGGUGAAAUGCGUAGAGAUCUGAAGGAACAUCAGUGGCGAAGGCGACCGCCUGGGCUGAUACUGACGCUGAGGUGCGAAAGCGUGGGGAGCAAACAGG
rnacentral:misc_RNA from 1 species